AACGAACGCUGGCGGCGUGGAUAAGACAUGCAAGUCGAACGCUGAUCUUUAAAUAGCAAAUAUUUAAAGGUUGGAGUGGCGCAAGGGUGUGUAACACGUGGGUAAUUUGCCUUAAAGAUUGGAAUAACUCGCUGAAAGGCGAGCUAAUGCCGAAUGUGAUUGUCAAAAAGCAUUUUAUGACAAUGAAAGCUGGGGAUCGUAAGACCUGGCGCUUUUCGAUAAGCCCGCGGCCUAUCAGCUAGUUGGUGAGGUAAUGGCUCACCAAGGCUAAGACGGGUAACUGGUCUGAGAGGACGACCAGUCACACUGGAACUGAGACACGGUCCAGACACCUACGGGUGGCAGCAGUCGAGAAUUUUUCACAAUGGGGGAAACCCUGAUGGAGCGACGCCGCGUGGGGGAUGAAUGGCUUCGGCCCGUAAACCCCUGUCAUUUGUGAACAAUGCGUCCAUUAAAACAUAUAGGACGUUGAUAGUAGCAGAAGAGGAAGGGACGGCUAACUCUGUGCCAGCAGCCGCGGUAAUACAGAGGUCCCAAGCGUUGUUCGGAUUUACUGGGCGUAAAGGGUGCGUAGGCGGUUAAGUAAGUUUGAAGUGAAAGCUCCAAGCUUAACUUGGAAAUUGCUUCAUAUACUAUUUAGCUAGAGGGCCGGAGAGGAGACUGGAAUUCUCGGUGUAGCAGU
rnacentral:rRNA from 1 species